UCCAGCAUCUGAAGCUGGCUCCAGAAAGUUUCACUGUGCCUCUCUACUCUGUCCAUCCAGACCAGCUUUCCUGCCCCUAGACCCUUGAGCCACUAUUCAUAACUCCUCUGCCCUUGUCUGCUCUAAGGAGUUUCUGAACUCCUUCAUCUCUCCUUAGCUACCUUGUCUUUUUUCUUGGGACUUACCUGCCAGUCCAUCAGGCCUGAACCUAUCCAUCCCACUUCCCUCCCCAUCCCUCCAUUUUGGUCCUGACCAGCCUCCUUGAUGAGGCGCUUGGCCUUGGUUUCAGAGAAAGAUGAUAUCUCGUAGAAGUGGUAGUGCUCCUUUGAAUGUGUGAAGCUGCGGAAUGAGACAGACUUCAAGUAGAUAACCAGGGAAGAGAGGGCUGGACACAAGAUGGGCUUGGAUUUCUGGAGAAGGUGGAAAAGAAGAUGGAAUUGAACCCUCAGCAGUCUGAGAGAGAAGAAGAUAAUGGCCAUCCAACCUAAACCUCUGCCCACUGCCUCCCCACUGUAUUCUCCCUCCUGCCUCACCUGCCGGGACAAGAGAAGGGACUCAGGCUUGGAAAUAGGAGCCUGGGCCACAAUCUGACAACAGAUAGACGGACAAAACAGCGGGCACGUCACAACCUGGGGGUGGGAAUGGGAAUAAAGGCGGUCUGCAUGUACUGCUGGGAUCAGUGUCAACCUCUGGGCUUGUGUUUGCUCUAUGUUAUAUCCUGGGUGACAGGUUUUAAAUUUAUUAUUAUAUUUAAACAGA
rnacentral:lncRNA from 1 species